CGUCCCAGUUCAGAUUGCAGUCUGCAACUCGACUGCAUGAAGUCGGAAUCGCUAGUAAUCGCGGAUCAGCAUGCCGCGGUGAAUACGUUCCCGGGCCUUGUACACACCGCCCGUCACACCAUGAGAGUCGGGAACACCCGAAGUCCGUAGCCUAACCGCAAGGGGGGCGCGGCCGAAGGUGGGUUCGAUAAUUGGGGUGAAGUCGUAACAAGGUAUC
rnacentral:rRNA from 1 species